UACGAAGGGGGCUAGCGUUGCUCGGAAUUACUGGGCGUAAAGGGAGCGUAGGCGGAUAGUUCAGUCAGAGGUGAAAGCCCAGGGCUCAACCUUGGAAUUGCCUUUGAUACUGGCUGUCUUGAGUAUGGGAGAGGUUAGCGGAACUCCGAGUGUAGAGGUGAAAUUCGUAGAUAUUCGGAAGAACACCAGUGGCGAAGGCGGCUAACUGGCCCAUUACUGACGCUGAGGCUCGAAAGCGUGGGGAG
rnacentral:rRNA from 1 species